AAAAAAAAAAAAAAAAAACAUGAUAUCUUGCAGAAGAAAAAGACAUAGAAGAUCAUACUUAUCAUAAAGAAUGUUCACUUGUGGAAAAUUGAGGUAAUUUUCUGAAAAAAAAUUUCAAAAAAAAAACUGAAAAACAGAGUUUCAUAUUCACAUGUGCUAAUUUUCUAAAUGGAGAACUGGAAAAUCAAUUUUCCAAAAUUUAACUAAAAUGUGAAAAAGUUUUAAAUUGUUUUCCACUGUUUU
rnacentral:misc_RNA from 1 species